UUUUUUGAGAGUUUGAUCCUAGCUCAGGAUGAACGCUGGCGGUGCGCCUUAGGCAUGCAAGUCGAACGGACUCUUCGGAGUUAGUGGCAGACGGGUGAGUAAUACAUAGGAACGUACCUUGAAGUGGGGAAUAAUUCAUCGAAAGAUGGACUAAUACCGCAUGUGAUCGCAAGAUUAAAGCAGCGAUGCGCUUCAAGAGCGGCCUAUGCACUAUCAGAUUGUUGGUGGGGUAAUGGCCUACCAAGUCUAUGACGGUUAUCCGAUGUGAGAGCAUGAUCGGACACAAUGUUACUGAGACACGGAA
rnacentral:rRNA from 1 species